rnacentral:snRNA from 1 species
GUGCUCGCUUCGGCAGCACAUGUACUAAAAUUGGAAUGAUGCAGAGAAGAUUAGCAUGGCCGCUGCGCAAGGAUGACACACAGACUGUGAAGUGUUCCAUAUUUUU